UGAGGGAAGAAAAAGGCAACUGGAAAAGUUUAAAAAGUAUUAAUAUCCUUUUUUGUAAUCUACCACCAUAAGCAAAAAUCACAAGAUCUUUCUCACUCAAGGUUUAUUUCUUAUGGACAAGAAGAAAACAGAACAUCUAGUGAAGACAACUAAAAUUAGAAAACACUAAGGCUACAUGGCAAAGUCACUCCUAGAUCUACAAAUCAUAGAACAUGAUCCAUAAAAAAGAAUAUUAGUUGGAAAGGUCCUUAAACCAGCUACUAGAAUGUAAGCUUCAUGUUUUGUUUGUCUCCAAACUCCAAGAAUUGUUAUCUAUUUUGUUCAUUAGUAGAGCCUCAGUACCUAGAAUAAUGCCUAGCAUAGCACACGGUGAAUGCUCAACAAAUAUUUAUUGAAUGAAUAUUAGAGCUAAGAAAACUGAGGCCUGGAGACUUAAGGCAGCACCAUCCAGUUAGCUGGGGCUGAACUAAGGUUUCAUUUCUCUAGUGUUCUAUCCUCUCUACAAGCUAGAAUAUGAUAAUUUAGAUAAUUUACUUUGGUGGUUGGGGAGUUGGAGGGUUGUUUGGCAGGCAGAGGAAGAGGAAGGAAGGAGCAAAUUGAAAUAUUCUCACAUUUUCCCCCCAACUGUCAGUUUUGCUUAAUUGAUAAGAGCAAAAAAUUAUAAAUAAGACAAUCCCAGCACAGUGCCUAGCACUUAACAAGUAUCUGUUCAAGGAAUGAACCUACUCCAAAACCAUCAUUAUCUCAUGACCAAAGGCAGAAACUAACCUCAGCAUCUGUUUAAUCUUUCUAACUGUCAGAGUGCCCUUUAGAAUUUUCAGUCAUUCCUAAGGCAAAGUUCUUAAUCACCUUCUUCCAGACGGGCACUGAGGGAGAGAGAUGAAUUAAAAGGUGUCCCUGCCCUGGAGGAUCUCUCACUUGAGUAUGCCUAUGGGGGGGGGGGUGGGGGGGGGGUGCAAGGGUGACAAAAACAGAUCAAUAAUGAAUGUGAAACCAGGCUCCAUUAUCAUCUCAGUUUAUUUGCCUCAAGCAGUGAAAAAAUGAAGUUAAAAAAACACAAACGAGCAAAGUUUUAAAAUAACGAGGCAUAUUAGGGUAUAUUAACACUUAAGAAAGGUUCCUUCUCCUGUGCCUUCACAAUAGAUCUUAUUUCCUCUUAAUGUCCUAAAAUAAAAAUAUUCUAAGUUGACUUAUUUGAAUUAUUGAUAUAAAUGAACCAUCAAUGUAUCUUCUCUCAUAUGUGAGACAUUUAAGGAUAAUAUUCCUGAUUCAUUACUCUGCAUACAUGUUGAUAUUUAAAUAUAUAACCACAAGAACAUAUUUAAAUUUAUUUAACUGUCUAUAAAACUGACAGAGCCUGAAAAAAUCUUCAGAGAUAAAUAACAGUAAUUAGAAACUAAAAACACAGUAUUACCCAGGAAGAGAACUUACCCACACAACUAAAAAAGCAAACCUACAGAAGUCUUCAAAAGAACAAAAUCCUCAAGAAGGGAAAACUCCUGCCCCAACUGGCCCACGGAGCCAGAUAGCGCGCCUGCCAACAGCAUCUUAUUGAAUGCAAGUCACUAACUGGACUCACAAAAAGUGAACACCCGAAGGUCAGUGUUGCCAUUUCUCAAACCUGAGUUUCAGGAAGACCCUUCCAAAGAGAUCCCCCACCACAUUCCAAGGAUUCCUCCCCAUAUCUGCUUGUCAAACUAGGAUAAGCAACACCAAAUACACUGGGAAAUAAGCAGACUCCACUCCCGAGUGUGACAAUUCCCGCACAGUGAAGUUACUUAUCGCACCCGGGGCGCAUGGCUCCCGGGAGAACACUCCUCACUCAGCCUCUGCAUCCCAGAGAGCUGGCAAACCGCCCCAAAGCCCCUCCAUCCCAACAGCCUCCCGAAAACUCUACGGCCCGCAGGUAUACCCUGUCCCACUGUUCAAGCCUUCAAAAGCACCGACAAAUCCAGGCCAAGGAGACUAGAGGGGGCAGGGAGACACUCCAAGGCAGGCCGGAAGGUUGCGGUGGGCCCGACGGGGAAGUACAGGGCCACCAGCUGUGGGGAAAACAGGAUGAGAAAGCGAGGUGGGGCGAGUCUGGGUGCGUGCAGGGACUGACAGGUGCAGGGCACCUUAUCGUCCUGGGCAGCACGGGAAGACGGGAACUGGCUUUCUUCACGGAGAGCGAGCAACGAGGCGCCCAGGGCGAGCGGUGCGGAGAGGUUUUCUGGGAACAGGGACUGGCCUCCGAAGGCAGCCGAAAGCCCAGAGCAAAGACCCUGAGAACAUUUUGGUGAAGAUCCCCCGGACGAGCGGUCCACGGCCGUUCCCAGCACCAACACGGGGGGAACCAUCGCACCUGUUCCAGGAUGUCUCCCUGUUAUCCGCUGGGACAGCGAGGAAGUGAAAGUCCACGGGUGGGCGUGAAAGCAAACUCGAGAAGGAAAAAACUAACCGGGGUCUGACCAGGAGGGGGGAAGAGGCUACCCUCGGGAAGGGGCUAGCAGGAGCUUGUUGCUGGAGUCCUCCAGGCAUUGAUCACCCCCAAGAAGACUUGAUAAAAUGAUGCUUUGGACCAUGGACAGCUGAAGAUGAGGCUCUGGAUUUAUAAUCCCCCUAAACGCAAGAUGAUCUUGCAGGGGAGAGCUUAGAUCAUGAACAGCUUUGUCAAUAGCCUGUCUUUCCAUCUUUCUAUCUUGCUCUAACUCCCACUCCCUCUCCCCAACCCACCCUUACGGGAAACCACAGCUACUUUUAUUUCUUUAUUUUCCAACUUUUGGAGGUGACUGUCAUAUCAGCUCUUUAUGAACACUACGUGUCUGUGAUGUCAACAUUUGGAAAUGUAGGAUGAUUAAUUGAAACUAUGAAAAAAAAAAAAAACUGUGGGGAGCUCUCUGAAUAUACAAAGAACCAGUUUAUUUGCGUGAGACUUUGAGAAAGGCCUUCCAAAUAAAUGGUGCUAAGCUACCAAAAAAAAAAACAAAAUGAUACUACAAUUGUAAUGGUAAUCUGGAGCUCAUGCUUCUAAGCUGCUGGUUUCAUAAAUAUAGCCCAUUAUUGUUCAUGUUUGCCCAGGGCAGAAAGAAUAUGUGAGGCUGCACAAUAAUAACAAUUGUGCUACACAAAUAACUGUCCCUGUGCCAGGGACCGAAAAGAACAAGCAGUAAGAGAUUUUUAAAUGCCACACACACCCAGGAUGUGAUAGGACAGUUCAAAAUUGUUGUCAUCGCUAAUCUUUUAGGACAACAGGGUGCCUUGGUAAGAGCCUGAAUUUACAAUGGGGAAGGCCCAGCUUGGUCCAGUCUGGGCUCUGCAACUUCCUGGUUUUGUGACCUUGGACAAGUCACUGAACUAUACCAAGCCAUGGUUUCUUCUCCUAUAAACUGAAGGUAAUAAUAGCACCUACCUGAUAAUACUAUUGUGAUGAUUAAAUGAGGUUUCAUGUGAAAGCAGUUAGCCUGAUACCUGACACACAGCAGAUACUAGAUAAGCAUUAACUCCCUUUUUUCCCCACUGGAGAAUAUUUAGGACUAAGAAGCCAGAAACAAAACAGAAAUCAUUUUUAAAGAUCUUCGCUGGUUUUCCAAAGCCUACCUUAAUGGUUUUUUGAAUAAAGUUUAUUCACUCAUUA